rnacentral:rRNA from 1 species
AGUAGUCAUUACCUCGUCUCAAAGAUUAAGCCAUGCAUGUGUAAGUGUAAAUAUACUAGUUUGGAACUGCGAAUGGCUCAUUAUAUCAGUUAUAGUUUAUUUGGUGAAGUGUACUACUUGGAUAACCGUAGUAAUUCUAGGGCUAAUACAUGAGAAAGUCCUCUGGUGAGGUGUGUUUAUUAGAAUGAAAACCAUAUGCUUCGGCAGUGGAGUAAUAGUAACCUAUCGUAUCGCAUGC